AGAGUUUGAUCAUGGCUCAGAGCGAACGCUGGCGGCGUGCUUAACACAUGCAAGUCGAACGAGGUUUGUAGCAAUACAAAUACUCGUGGCGAACGGGUGCGUAACACGUGGAUAACCUUCCUUCAGGUGGGGAAUAACCCAGUGAAAAUUGGGCUAAUACCGCAUAACAUCGCGAUGGCACAUGCUGUUGCGUUCAAAGCCGCAAGGCGCCAGAAGAGGGAUCCGCGGCCGAUUAGCUUGUUGGCGAGGUAAUGGCUCACCAAGGCUUUGAUCGGUAUCCGGACUGAGAGGUUGGCCGGACACACUGGAACUGAGACACGGUCCAGACUCCUACGGGAGGCAGCAGUGGGGAAUCUUGCACAAUGGACGAAAGUCUGAUGCAGCAACGCCGCGUGGGGGAUGAAGCUUCUCGGAGUGUAAACCCCUUUCGACCUGGACGAAUGCCCGCAAGGGCUUGACGGUACAGGUAUAAGAAGCCCCGGCUAACUACGUGCCAGCAGCCGCGGUAAUACGUAGGGGGCCAGCGUUGCUCGGAAUUACUGGGCGUAAAGGGUCCGUAGGCGGUGUGGUAAGUCGAUAGUGAAAUCUCUGGGCUUAACCCAGAGGCUGCUAACGAAACUACCAUGCUAGAGUGUGAGAGAGGCGAGUGGAAUUACGGGUGUAGCGGUGAAAUGCGUAGAUAUCCGUAGGAACAUCCGAGGCGAAAGCGGCUCGCUGGAUCACAACUGACGCUGAGGGACGAAAGCUAGGGGAGCAAACAGGAUUAGAUACCCUUGUAGUCC
rnacentral:rRNA from 1 species